AAGAAAGUUAAAAAUAUAUAUAUAAAAUGGCAAGGGAGGGAUGAGAAAACCAUACAACAUAUUAAAUAUUUAUAAAAGUUUUAAAAGAUGCUAAUGAUGUGGUGUGUUUAGUUUCAAUAAGCAGAGUGUCCCACAGUCUGGGGGCUUUACAAGCAAAGGCCUGGUCACCUUUGGUCACAAGCAUAGACUGUAUAUAAGAAGUGGAUAAGGAGACUGUUUUGUGGUCUGCCGUGUUGAAGCCUCGAGUUCGGCAUGUUGGCCGUCUCCAUCUUGUUUUUUUGCAACCAGAAAUUAAAUGAAAAGGUGGCGCUAAGUAGAACUGAAUGCUGAACAAGACAUUUUUAGGGGAACAAAAAAGAUUUAACACCAUUGAGACAGGAGAGGAGGUUAACUAAGCUGCUGGAGUCCCUGGACUGGAGAGGAACAUAUAGCUGUGUGUCAACCACAUUACAAUGAUGGGAGACACUGUGAUACAGAAUGAUUUUGGCUGAGAGGAAGCACAUAUACUAAAAAAAACUAAAAAAAACAGAAGGCAGGAGGAGAGACAGGUAAGAAAAGAAGGAAGAAAUAAACAACAAACAAAUGUCUAAAGGCAACUGCAUGAAAAUGUUCAAUAAAGUAACUACUUUUAGACACCAA